GACACCUUUAUACGCCUCUUUAAUGUUUCCAAUUAAUUGAUAAGUCUCAAUGAUGCAGUUUCAAAAUGAAUCCAACUCUACUUAGUUUGACAAAGAAAGACAAAUCAAAAGAAACCACUGAAGUUGAUUCAUCUUCUAGUA
rnacentral:lncRNA from 1 species